GCUACAGCUUCUCGUUUUUUGUGAAAAAGAUGAUACAGUAACUUCACUACUGUAGAACUUAUUUAUCUUUCUCUGUGUAACAGCUAUUAGUGAAGUCCCAAGGUCUAUUUGGAAGCAGAAACACAACUGUCCUGGGCCUGACCGGAGGAGAGUUUGGCUUCGGCUGCUGCCCUCAGCACGUUGGCAGAUCCUCAGACGCCGUCGUCUCUCCCUCCAUCGUCUUCUCACAUGCGAGGCCGAGCCAAGACGUGCUUCUGUCAACCUCCACAGCUCCGUGCCAUCAGCUGUGGGCCUCCCACUCUGACUACAGCCGACAGGGCCUUCCUCCAUCCGUUUAGGCUCGUUGGACAUAGUCGUUGUGAGGUUUUGGGGCUCAGAUGGAAGACACAUAGCACAGAGGUGCUGAAGAAGACGCGUUGUAAUCACAAAGAUGGAGGGAUGAUGUCAAUCACAGCAUCUACAGCGCAUGGAGGCCUCAAUGCAGCCAGAAUUGAACGAUCCUCGGUGUCAGAACAGGAGCCACCCUGCUUCUGCUUAGUCUGGAAACCAUUUCCUUUGCAGUCCGAUGGUCCCGACGUUGAUCUUGAGGACAGUCACUGGUGGAGUUCGUAUAUUUAUCGAAGCGCCAUCUCUCAUCUGAAUCCACGCCGUUUUCUUCACAAAAUACGCGCGCUCUCCCAGAGGCCCGUGCAUCAGGCCCGCGGGACGCACUGUGACAGACUCUAA
rnacentral:lncRNA from 1 species